GACGAACGCUGGCGGCGUGCCUAAUACAUGCAAGUCGAACGAACUCUGGUAUUGAUUGGUGCUUGCAUCAUGAUUUACAUUUGAGUGAGUGGCGAACUGGUGAGUAACACGUGGGAAACCUGCCCAGAAGCGGGGGAUAACACCUGGAAACAGAUGCUAAUACCGCAUAACAACUUGGACCGCAUGGUCCGAGUUUGAAAGAUGGCUUCGGCUAUCACUUUUGGAUGGUCCCGCGGCGUAUUAGCUAGAUGGUGGGGUAACGGCUCACCAUGGCAAUGAUACGUAGCCGACCUGAGAGGGUAAUCGGCCACAUUGGGACUGAGACACGGCCCAAACUCCUACGGGAGGCAGCAGUAGGGAAUCUUCCACAAUGGACGAAAGUCUGAUGGAGCAACGCCGCGUGAGUGAAGAAGGGUUUCGGCUCGUAAAACUCUGUUGUUAAAGAAGAACAUAUCUGAGAGUAACUGUUCAGGUAUUGACGGUAUUUAACCAGAAAGCCACGGCUAACUACGUGCCAGCAGCCGCGGUAAUACGUAGGUGGCAAGCGUUGUCCGGAUUUAUUGGGCGUAAAGCGAGCGCAGGCGGUUUUUUAAGUCUGAUGUGAAAGCCUUCGGCUCAACCGAAGAAGUGCAUCGGAAACUGGGAAACUUGAGUGCAGAAGAGGACAGUGGAACUCCAUGUGUAGCGGUGAAAUGCGUAGAUAUAUGGAAGAACACCAGUGGCGAAGGCGGCUGUCUGGUCUGUAACUGACGCUGAGGCUCGAAAGUAUGGGUAGCAAACAGGAUUAGAUACCCUGGUAGUCCAUACCGUAAACGAUGAAUGCUAAGUGUUGGAGGGUUUCCGCCCUUCAGUGCUGCAGCUAACGCAUUAAGCAUUCCGCCUGGGGAGUACGGCCGCAAGGCUGAAACUCAAAGGAAUUGACGGGGGCCCGCACAAGCGGUGGAGCAUGUGGUUUAAUUCGAAGCUACGCGAAGAACCUUACCAGGUCUUGACAUACUAUGCAAAUCUAAGAGAUUAGACGUUCCCUUCGGGGACAUGGAUACAGGUGGUGCAUGGUUGUCGUCAGCUCGUGUCGUGAGAUGUUGGGUUAAGUCCCGCAACGAGCGCAACCCUUAUUAUCAGUUGCCAGCAUUAAGUUGGGCACUCUGGUGAGACUGCCGGUGACAAACCGGAGGAAGGUGGGGAUGACGUCAAAUCAUCAUGCCCCUUAUGACCUGGGCUACACACGUGCUACAAUGGAUGGUACAACGAGUUGCGAACUCGCGAGAGUAAGCUAAUCUCUUAAAGCCAUUCUCAGUUCGGAUUGUAGGCUGCAACUCGCCUACAUGAAGUCGGAAUCGCUAGUAAUCGCGGAUCAGCAUGCCGCGGUGAAUACGUUCCCGGGCCUUGUACACACCGCCCGUCACACCAUGAGAGUUUGUAACACCCAAAGUCGGUGGGGUAACCUUUUAGGAACUAGCCGCCUAAGGUGGGACAGAUGAUUAGGGUG
rnacentral:rRNA from 1 species